UCAAGUGGAAUUCGACAGGAUUGCCUCUCACUGACUGUGUGACCUUGGGCAGAUUGCUUAACACUGCUGAACCUCAUUUCUCCUCGUGGGAGAUGGCGAUAACAAUAUGUGACUCCUAGGACUCUGGUGAAGAUCGGAUUAAAUCAGAGAGAGUUUGUAGCCUCUAGUUAGACAACAGCACAGCACUGCCCCCCUCCCUGGGUCCAGCUGACUACCCUGCCCCUGGUUUAUCACUCAGUAGAAAAAUAUGAAUGACACCUUGGCUGAGUGUGGGACAGGAAGAGUUAACAUGCUGACAGACGGCAUUUUUUACCUUCAGUCAAUAUGAACAAGGCCCCAAGACUAUGAUUCCAAACAUCUGGAUUUCAUCAAUAUGUGAUCUGUCAUCGUAUAUUGGCAUUCCCCAGUCCCCGCGCCAGAGCAAUGCAGCUGGUUUUAUUAAUACGUCAAAUACAUUAUCCGUGUAAUACACUUGUCUGGCUGGGGCCUCCCGCUGGGGCGGGGCGGCGGAUUUGAAUGUAUGAUGAAUCAGUUUGCAUUA